GGUCAAUAAAAUUUCAAACGAUAACCAACGAUCAUAAAUGAUCACAUUGCAUGGCUAUAAAAGGGCCACCUUAAAAUGUAAUUUGAUACAUCGCAUCUAAUUCUCUUCUUCUCUUCUUUCUAAUUUUUUCUCUUCAAAUCUUUUAUCCUUGUGAUUAUUUUUCUAAAUGUUGAAAGAAUCUACAUCAAUCUCCUCCAUGAUCGUGCUCGCAAGCAAAGGAUUCCAAUCAUAUCUUAGAGUAAUUUUUUCAAUUUUUUUUACAUGAGGGAUAGGAAUACGCCAUAGGAUAAUAUCCAAUAUGCUUCUGGAUUUGAUCAAUUUUAUAUCUUGAUGUUCUGUAAAUCAUUUAUAAUUUUUUUAUAAUAUAGUUUUGUUCAGUUCUAAAUUAUAUUAAGAAUUCUUAAAGCUCUAUUCCAACAAAAAUAAUAGCACAAUUCGCUUCUAAAGCAUUCCGCCUCAAGCUUGAGGUAACGUAAUAUGUCAUUAAAAGUUCUUAUAUUUUCGCUGUGCAUCAUCAAGGGCUUCAUUUGGAUCCACUCAGGAUCUGACAAAGAACGAAUAACAGCAAGCACAUGUUGCUCAUUAUUAAGCUCAUUCCCAGCAGCUCUAAAUCUUGAAUCAUGGCACUCAUAACAUGAAGAUACUCAGCCAUGGAGUAUUUUGGGUCUUAGUGUAUUGCUAAAAUUUCAUAUUCAAGGCAUGAAGUUUUGUAGUUGAAGUUUGCCCAAAAUUGAUCUUAAGCUGGUUCCAUAUGUCUUAGGUCAUGAGGCAAUUCUCAAAUUUGCUAAUAAAGUGCACAUAUCAAUCUUUUUUAAUCCAAUUCUCAAAGGCUUCUUUAUCACGGCGAUGAUGGACAGUAUUGCCUUCCUCAGGUGGGACUAUGGUAGUAGAUAAUAUCUCCAAGACAUCUUAUUCAUUAAACAAAUAUUGAAUUUUCCUUUGCUAGAUAUCAUAAUUUUUUCUAUCAAGUUUUUUCUCUUUGGUCAAAUCAACGACAAUAUUCUCAGAGGCCAUGAUUCAUUAUAUUCAUUAAACAAGGAGGGACAUUGGGCACAUAUUUUUCUCAAAAAUAAUAAUUUAGAUUUUUAUAUUCUUUUUUACAUUACAAGAUCGAAAAUGUCGCUAUGCUGAUAAUCAUCUUAAUAAAUAUAUUUUGUAUAAAUUUUUUGGCCCCAGAUGAUGUGGCACGCACCUCCCACGCGCCACGUGUAGCUUCUAUUUAUACAAAAAAUAUUUUUUCAAUUUUUUCCAUUCGAGAAAUCAAAAUAAAAUAUCCAAAUUACAUAUACAUAGUAAUUAGAUAAUAAGAAACA
rnacentral:lncRNA from 1 species